GAGACAGUAUAUAAAGAGCACAGCAAACGUUCAUGUUCAUUGUAGUUGAUUCUGAUUUCCACCAGAUAUCCAUCAUGUUCAUCAUGAAGACUGUGCUGCUCAUCUCUGUUCUCUGUGUCACACUGUCUGUCAGUGCUGCAGCAGUUGUUCCAGUGGGAGAAAUACUUACAAAAGAGAGAGCUGAUGAUUCAGCUGUUCCAGUUGAAGGUGUUGUUUCAGAGGAGAGGGCUGAUGUUUCAGUCCCAGCUGUGGAAGUAGCAGACGAAACCAAACUUACAUCCUCAGGUCAGUGUCUUUAAUACUCUUUGUCUUCUAUUCAAACAUUUUAACAGUUUUUUUCAGAUUUGUCACCCCCAUUAAGUCUGAUUUUGCCACAUCGUCUCAAAAAACACACUGUUCACUGUUUAUGUUUGAUUAUCAUGUUCUGUCUUUUUUGCUGUAGAUGACACAGCAGAUGUUGAACCGGUGGUUCUACUGAAGAACAACACUGCACGGAACGCAAAUUCAAAAUGUCCUCAAGAUUGGCACGAAUACCAGAACAAGUGUUAUCUGUUGGUCAAGCUUGUGUAUUCCUGGACUAAUGCAGAGUUUCUGUGUCAGAAUAUGGGUGCAAGCUUGGCGUCAGCCCACAAUUUACAGGAAGACCAUUACCUGAAGCAGAUGGCCUGGAAGGCUGGUUUCUUAUCAGCCUGGAUAGGUGGACACAGAUUCCAGGGCUACUGGAGAUGGGAUGAUGGUACACCAUUCGACUACAACAACUGGUACGCCCACAACGGUAACGGCUAUGACUGCAUCUACCUGAACAGCCAAGACAUUCGAGGCUGGACCAGUGAGCGCUGCAACUUGGGACAUCCAUUCAUCUGCUCAUUUAAUGCCACGUGCUAGUGUCUGAGCACAGAUGCAUUUUUAUCACUGAUGAUACAUGGAUCAACAGCUACUCUCUGCUGACUGUGAGGACCAUUUGCUGUGAUAGAUUGUAUACUCACAAUGUCUUGUCUUUUUAUGAUAGUACAAGAACAAAUGUAUUGAUAAGUUGAACAAAUGUGUUUCUCUUUGACUCUGUUUAUAGAAAAUGGAAAAUAAAUAAAUAAAGGAGUUGAUGGAAAAA